UGAGUGGCGGACGGGUGAGUAACGCGUGGGCAACCUGGCCUGUACAGGGGGAUAACACUUAGAAAUAGGUGCUAAUACCGCAUAACGGGGGAAGCCGCAUGGCUUUUCCCUGAAAACUCCGGUGGUACAGGAUGGGCCCGCGUCUGAUUAGCCAGUUGGCAGGGUAACGGCCUACCAAAGCGACGAUCAGUAGCCGGCCUGAGAGGGCGGACGGCACACUGGGACUGAGACACGGCCCAGACUCCUACGGAAGGCAGCAG
rnacentral:rRNA from 1 species